ensembl:miRNA mir458 microRNA 458
CUGCGGUGGUGCAGGUGGCAGCGCCAUUUUCAGAGGUAUAAGCAUGCUGAUUGUCAUAGCUCUUUGAAUGGUACUGCCGCACGCACU